CUCUUGAGUGGAUCCUGAGUACGACGGAGCACGUGAAAUUCCGUCGGAAUCUAGGAGGACCAUCUCCUAAGGCUAAAUACUCUCUAGUGACCGAUAGUGAACCAGUACCGUGAGGGAAAGGUGAAAAGAACCCCGGAAGGGGAGUGAAAGAGAACUUGAAACCGUGUGCUUACAAGUAGUCAGAGCCCGUUUAUGGGUGAUGGCGUGCCUUUUGUAGAAUGAACCGGCGAGUUACGAUCUGAUGCAAGGUUAAGCAG
rnacentral:rRNA from 1 species